GUAUAAAAAGCGACCAAAGGCAGCAUGGGCAUAUCCUUUUGAGUCGUCUCUCACCAACAAUGCGACUGCUGCCAUUGAUUGUCGUGCUUUGUGUGGUGUUGGUGACCACUGAAGGUGGAAGGUGUCGCAAAUUCGGCAAGGCGUGUGGAAAAUGGAACAGGGAUGUCUGCCGCUGGUGUUGGAGGCCCCACAAACGUCUCUGCUGUCUUCCGGGCGACACAUACGGUGAAUGCGGGAGAAAAUGCAGUUUCCCAAAUACCUGCAGCACACUAAACGGCAAAUGUCACAAAGGAUGGUGCUGCGUCUUCUGCAAAGGAAAACAUUGCAAGAAAGGCUAGCUGCACCACUUGCUGCCGGCUGCCGCUGUCGUCAAGGGAUAGGUAACGACUGCACUGACACCAGAUGUGAAGUGACUGCAUGCACAAAGAAGACCCAUGCUAUGCUGGUGGCGUAACAGCAAGGUCGCACGUAAUUAUUAACAGGUGUUUAUGCGAAGCGGACAUUUAGCUGCUUGUAGUUGGGCUUUACGUUGAAUACAAUUACGGAACCAACUAUUUGUUAGCAUCUGUUG